GCAGCUGUACGUGGGUCUGACUCUGUUCUUCUUCGUGCUCCUGUUCUCCGUGGCUGUGCUGAUACUCUGCAAGAAAAGAGCCUUUAAACCCAAAGAACAUCCUGAGGAAACAGUGUAUGCUAAUGUCACAGAGACCAGCCGAGAGGAGAUCAGAGAGAGCGACGGACAGAGCAGAUCUGCUCCUGUGGAAAACUCAGCUGACUACAGCGUCAUCACUGCUGCAGCAUCCCGUCCUCUGAGUAAACCUGAAGACGACUCGAUUGAACUCGUCUACACUCAGGUAGAUUUUUCCAACAGAGCUGCCUCCUCACUCAGCAGCGCCCCCUCUGGUCAGGCCGAUAACGUUAUCUACUCUGCGCCUCAGAGACGCACUGAUGCCAAAGUAGAUUCACAGCCUCUGUACUCAACUGUUACUCCACGGCAGAAGCUUUAAUGCUGCUGACAUCCUGUUUCCUCCAGCAUGCUUCAG